rnacentral:rRNA from 1 species
CCUACGGGAGGCAGCAGUGGGGAAUAUUGCACAAUGGGGGAAACCCUGAUGCAGCGACGCCGCGUGAGUGAAGAAGUAUCUCGGUACGUAAAGCUCUAUCAGCAGGGAAGAAAAUGACGGUACCUGACUAAGAAGCCCCGGCUAACUACGUGCCAGCAGCCGCGGUAAUACGUAGGGGGCAAGCGUUAUCCGGAUUUACUGGGUGUAAAGGGAGCGUAGACGGCAGCACAAGUCUGGAGUGACAUCCCGGGGCUUAACCCCGGAAUUGCUUUGGAAACUGUGGGGCUGGAGUGCAGGAGGGGUAAGCGGAAUUCAUGGUGUAGCGGUGAAAUGCGUAGAUAUUAUGAGGAACACCGGUGGCGAAGGCGGCUUACUGGACUGUAACUGACGUUGAGGCUCGAAAGCGUGGGGAGCAAACAGGAUUAGAUACCCUUGUAGUC